rnacentral:rRNA from 1 species
UCGACGAUGAAUCUUCUAGCUUGCUAGAAGUGGAUUAGUGGCGCACGGGUGAGUAAUGCAUAGGUUAUGUGCCCUUUAGUCUGGGAUAGCCACUGGAAACGGUGAUUAAUACUGGAUACUCCCUACGGGGGAAAGUUUUUCGCUAAAGGAUCAGCCUAUGUCCUAUCAGCUUGUUGGUGAGGUAAUGGCUCACCAAGGCUAUGACGGGUAUCCGGCCUGAGAGGGUGAUCGGACACACUGGAACUGAGACACGGUCCAGACUCCUACGGGAGGCAGCAGUAGGGAAUAUUGCUCAAUGGGGGAAACCCUGAAGCAGCAACGCCGCGUGGAGGAUGAAGGUUUUAGGAUUGUAAACUCCUUUUGUUAGAGAAGAUUAUGACGGUAUCUAACGAAUAAGCACCGGCUAACUCCGUGCCAGCAGCCGCGGUAAUACGGAGGGUGCAAGCGUUACUCGGAAUCACUGGGCGUAAAGAGUGCGUAGGCGGGGUAAUAAGUCAGAUGUGAAAUCCUGUAGCUUAACUACAGAACUGCAUUUGAAACUGUUACUCUGGAGUGUGGGAGAGGUAGGUGGAAUUCUUGGUGUAGGGGUAAAAUCCGUAGAGAUCAAGAGGAAUACUCAUUGCGAAGGCGACCUGCUGGAACAUUACUGACGCUGAUGCACGAAAGCGUGGGGAGCAAACAGGAUUAGAUACCCUGGUAGUCCACGCCCUAAACGAUGGAUGCUAGUUGUUGCCUUGCUUGUCAGGGCAGUAAUGCAGCUAACGCAUUAAGCAUCCCGCCUGGGGAGUACGGUCGCAAGAUUAAAACUCAAAGGAAUAGACGGGACCCGCACAAGCGGUGGAGCAUGUGGUUUAAUUCGAAGAUACGCGAAGAACCUUACCUAGGCUUGACAUUGAU